rnacentral:rRNA from 1 species
UACGUAGGGAGCAAGCGUUGUCCGGAAUCAUUGGGCGUAAAGCGCGCGUAGGUGGCCCGGUAAGUCCGCUCUGAAAGUCACAGGCUCAACCUGUGAAAGCGGGUGGAUACUGCCGGGCUAGAGUCCGGAAGAGGCGAGUGGAAUUCCUGGUGUAGCGGUGGAAUGCGCAGAUAUCAGGAGGAACACCAACGGCGAAGGCAGCUCGCUGGGACGGUACUGACACUGAGGCGCGAAGGCCAGGGAGCAAACGGG